rnacentral:rRNA from 1 species
CGAUGCCUACGGGGCGCAGCAGUGGGGAAUAUUGCACAAUGGGGGAAACCCUGAUGCAGCAACGCCGCGUGAGUGAAGAAGUAUUUCGGUAUGUAAAGCUCUAUCAGCAGGGAAGAAAAUGACGGUACCUGAGUAAGAAGCCCCGGCUAACUACGUGCCAGCAGCCGCGGUAAUACGUAGGGGGCAAGCGUUAUCCGGAUUUACUGGGUGUAAAGGGCGUGUAGGCGGGCCUGCAAGUCAGAAGUGAAAUCUGGGGGCUUAACCCCCACACUGCUUUUGAAACUGUG